rnacentral:tRNA from 1 species
GCCUGGGUGGCUCAGUUGGUUAAGCAUCUGACUUAGGCUCAGGUCAUGAUCUCACAAUCCGUGAGUUCGAGCCCCACGUCGGGCU